CGGGGGCCGAGUAGAGUGGCGCACGGGUGAGUAACACGUAGGUAAUUUGCCUUCGGGUGGGGAAUAACUCAGGGAAACUUGAGCUAAUACCGCAUAAUGCAGCGGCUCGACAUCGAGACAGUUGUUAAAGCGGGGGAUCGCAAGACCUCGCGCCUGAAGAGAAGCCUGCGGCAGAUUAGCUAGUUGGCAGGGUAAUGGCCUACCAAGGCGACGAUCUGUAACCGGCCUGAGAGGGCGGUCGGUCACACUGACACUGACAUACGGGUCAGACUCCUACGGGAGGCAGCAGUCGGGAAUUUUGGGCAAUGGGCGCAAGCCUGACUCAGCAACGCCGCGUGAAGGAUGAAAUUUUUCGGAAUGUAAACUUCGCAAGAACGGGAAGAAUAAGUAGGGGACAACACCCCCUAUGAUGACGGUACCGUUUGUAAGCUCCGGCUAACUUCGUGCCAGCAGCCGCGGUAAUACGAGGGGAGCAAGCGUUGUUCGGAUUUACUGGGCGUAAAGGGCGCGUAGGCGGCGCAACAAGUCACUUGUGAAAUCUCCGGGCUUAACUCGGAACGGUCAAGUGAAACUGUCGUGCUAGAGUACAGAAGGGGCAACUGGAAUUCUCGGUGUAGCGGUGAAAUGCGUAGAUAUCGAGAGGAACACCUGCGGCGAAGGCGGGUUGCUGGGCUGAUACUGACGCUGAUGCGCGAAAGCCAGGGGAGCGAACGGGAUUAGAUACCCCGGGUAGUCUGGCCUUAAACAAUGAAUGCUUGGUGU
rnacentral:rRNA from 1 species